GAACAGGGUGGGGUCAUAGGUUGCUAGGGUCUUAGUAGGGAUGGGGCCCAAGCCCUGGGGAUAUGGGUCCCUGAGGUCUUGGGGUAAUGGGAACCUAAGUCCUGAGGGUCCAGGUCAUGGGGUGAUCUGGGCCUGGGAGUCUGUGUCUCACAUCCAGGCCCCAGAGGAGCCCCUGCCCUUGCAGCAGGGAGCUGGCUCUGCACCGUGGACUGGCUUGGGCUUUGCACAUGUGGUUGAUGGGGCCGGCCUCUCUCUGCUCGGGCCCACAGUGCCUCGUGUCAUGGAGCAUGACAUUGUCCUGUGCUGUGAGACCAAGGCAGCUGAAGACUGGCAGGCAUUAGUCUGUGUUCAUGCCCGGUCCCUGUCCAGGAGCACCUGCUGUGCCCAUCUGCGCUCAGAGCAGCUGUUCCAGGUGGCCUUGACCUACGCACACAGGGACAUGCUACUCCCUGAUCCUGAGGCUGUGCAGGACCAAGGGGAUGCGGAGACGAGAGGGGGGCACUAUCCUUCUGGAUUCGAUUGUGCUCUUGCCGUGGGUGAAGGAGUUGCCUGGGCUGAGAUCUGUGGACCCUGGGGCCACAGAGCACUUACAGGAGCUCCACAAGGCAGGCUGCGUGGAGGCAGCAAGGACUGGCCUCCCCAGCACCAUGCCUGAGGUUUGUGCCCACCUUGUCUGCAGCAUCUUGGCCCUGCUCCACGGGGGUGGCCUUGCAUGUGAGUGCCACCCCCAGGGUUCCCUGAACACUGUGCACCCCGCUAGGUGGGCCCUGCCCCUGCCAUCCCAAUAUCAUUGGUUGUACCUGUGACUGCAUGUCUGAAAUAUACAGCAUCGGGCCCACUGGCUGCAGUGAGUGCCACUGCCACACCGAGGGGCCACUAGUACCAUUUGUAACCCUGUGAGUGGGCAGUGCACAUGCCAGGCAGGCCUGGCUGGUCACCGCUGUGCCCACCGCCUCUCUGGCUGGUGGGGUUUCCCUCUCUGCCAGCCCUGCACCUGCACUGGACACGCUGAGUUGUGCCAGCCACUCACAGGGGUCUGCCAGGCUUGCCCAGGAACCACCACAGGCUGGCACUGUGCGAGGUGCUUGGACGGCUAUUCUGGAGACCCCACCCUGGGCUCAGGCCAGCAGUGCAGACCUUGCCCCUGUCCUGGGCACCCUGGCUCUGGCCUCUAUCAUGGGAUUUCCUGCCAUGUGGACAGUGCGAGUGGACGUGUCCUAUACCUCUGUGCACCUGGCUAUGCAGGUGAGGGCUGUUUGGCAAGGGCAACCCGGUGGCCCUGCUCACUUGUUCACAACCUCAUCAGGUCCACGAGGCAAAUCUUUGCCAGGGCCACCUGUAUGUGGAGCUGCAGGCUGGGCACGUCUCCUGGAGGAGUUGCUGUUCAAGGGAGGGAGGGGCAGAUGGGAGGAGCUA